rfam:Tupaia chinensis contig176731, whole genome shotgun sequence.
AUGCUCACUUAGACAGCAUAUAUACUAACACUGAAAUGAUAGAGAAUAUCAUUAGCAUGGCCCCUGCACAGGAAUGACAUGCAACUUGAAAAACAUUCCAUCGUUUUUU